GCAGCUCAUAACAUACCAAAGUGGUGCUGUUAUGGUAUCUUGGAUGUGUAUGGUGGUACUGUAGCAGUUAGAGUUACCAGCAAAGUGUCCAACAACAUUAAAGGAGAAGUUACUUUGGCUGAUCCUGAGGAAGAAUUGAGUUCUGCUUGUCCACCAACUAAAAGGGAUGGUCAAGAAUUAACUGAAGAAAUGAAGAGGAUGG